rnacentral:rRNA from 1 species
CCUAGGGAGGCUGCAGUGGGGAAUAUUGGACAAUGGGCGAAAGCCUGAUCCAGCCAUGCCGCGUGUGUGAAGAAGGCCUUCGGGUUGUAAAGCACUUUCAGUGGGGAAGAAAGCCUUGGGGCUAAUACCCUCGAGGAAGGACAUCACCCACAGAAGAAGCACCGGCUAACUCCGUGCCAACAGCCGCGGUAAUACGGAGGGUGCGAGCGUUAAUCGGAAUUACUGGGCGUAAAGCGCGCGUAGGCGGUCUGAUAAGCCGGUUGUGAAAGCCCCGGGCUCAACCUGGGAACGGCAUCCGGAACUGUCAGGCUAGAGUGCAGGAGAGGAAGGUAGAAUUCCCGGUGUAGCGGUGAAAUGCGUAGAGAUCGGGAGGAAUACCAGUGGCGAAGGCGGCCUUCUGGACUGACACUGACGCUGAGGUGCGAAAGCGUGGGUAGCAAACAGGAUUAGAUACCCGAGUAGUC